UACGUAGGGUGCGAGCGUUUGUCCGGAAUUAUUGGGCGUAAAGAGCUCGUAGGCGGUUUGUCACGUCUGCUGUGAAAUCCCGAGGCUCAACCUCGGGCCUGCAGUGGGUACGGGCAGACUGGAGUGCGGUAGGGGGAGAAUGGAAUUCCUGGUGUAGCGGUGGAAUGCGCAGAUAUCAGGAGGAACACCGGUGGCGAAGGCGGGUCUCUGGGCCGAUACUGACGUGAGGAGCGAAAGCGUGGGGGAGCGAACAGG
rnacentral:rRNA from 1 species